rnacentral:rRNA from 1 species
UACGGGGGGGGCAAGCGUUGUUCGGAAUUACUGGGCGUAAAGGGCUCGUAGGCGGCCAACUAAGUCAGACGUGAAAUCCCUCGGCUUAACCGGGGAACUGCGUCUGAUACUGGAUGGCUUGAAUCCGGGAGAGGGAUGCGGAAUUCCAGGUGUAGCGGUGAAAUGCGUAGAGAUCAGCAGGAACACCCGUGGCGAAGGCGGCCCCCUGGGCCGUACCUGACGCUGAGGCGCGAAGGCUAGGGGAGCGAACGGG